rnacentral:misc_RNA from 1 species
CAUCGGGCUUGCCUCCUUCAUAUGGGCCUAAGUUCAGAAAUUUUGAAUGAUCAAUGGCUUGUUACCAUCAAACACUAAAACAAGAUAAAGCGAAAAGCCUACCAUCUAAUAUAUAUUCUUUAGACUGUUCUCACCAAAACACCAUCAAUGAAGCAAAAACAGUGAACCAGUGCAAACAAAUAGCAUUUAUUACAUACCAACUAACUGCUAAAAGAGAGAAGCUAGAAUCCUUCAUACUUC